UGAAGAUUAAAGAAGUAAACAGCCACAAAAUGCACAUAAUAUUUCCAGCUGUUCUUUCCCUAAUCUCAUGAAUGUGCCUCAUUGAAAAGUUAUUCAAAGAGAAAAUAAGCCCUUAUCAUUGCAGCCGGCAUGGGAUUUGUAUCUUCUUAUCUCAGAUGAGGAGGCUGCUACUUCCUGCAGCCUCAAAAAAAGGAGGCGAAUUCAACUGAGGGAAUUGAAUUAUUUAAUCUGCUGUGUUGUGUUGACAUUGAUCACUGUUUUAUUUCCAUUAUCGGAUUAAAAGCAAUACAAGAGGUACCUACUUUUGUAAGUGCUGCUCUAGCCAACAAAAAGCUUUUGAGAUCUUCACUUGGACUAUGUUACAAUACUUUAAGCAGCUGUACAGGGUGCUGCUUUUACCUUUCAGUGGCAGUGAGAACAUUAAGGAAAACACUGUAGUGGCCCAUGUGUGUUCUGCCAGGCUGUGCAGUUGUUCAUAUAUGAAGAUGUCAGGCUUAUGAAAGACACUUCCUGUGAGCAAGCUCACAGACUGCUGAAUGAAGUCAUUAAUCUGGUACAAGAAUCUCAAAGGAAGCCUGAAAAUACUAUGCAGAUAAAGAGGACUUCCUUUGUUUUUCCUUUGGGUAGCCUCUUGCGAAGACCUUUUGACUAUGUCUGCCCUGUAAAAUUUAUGGCCACGGUUCUGGGCCCACAGAAGCAUGAAUAAAUGCACUGUUGAUGGAUGCCAGACUGCACUGUGAAAUUAAGUUUGCAGUUUCCAGUAUGAACUUGGCCACCUUUAAGGGAAUGUGACCUCUUACAGACAUGUAGCACCUCAUGCAAUAGCUUUUUUCAUUAUUUAUUUAUAGAUAUGGAAGAAGCAAAAUGAAUCUACAGGCUGGAUAAGUGCAUUGUAGAGAAACUGUAUAGAGGGCUUUUUUGAGAGAGCAACACUUUCCAGAAUUUUGGAAGAGAAGCUUUAUAUGGAGUCACGUUUUUAUGAUCGAAUCAGCAGUAUUGUACAGAUAUAACAUUUUUCAUUAUACCAAAGUGAUGGGAGUCAAGUCAUGAAACUUGUUCUUUCCUAAAGACAUCUCAUUCAUCUGUUCUGAGUCAUCCAUCAAAACCAGCCUUGCAGUAUGUCUAGUUUCUUCAGUGACUCAUCAUGGAUUCAAUGUAAGGUAAGGAAGCUGCAGCCAGCAGGUUAGGACAGCUCACCCCUCAAAACCAAAGAUGAAUAAAAUGCAAAUGAGCUUUGACAAUUCAAGUAUAUUUUAAAUUGGAUUUUCAGAGAACCCUUGAAAUCCCCAUAUGUAAUAUAAAAUUUAAUUACUGCAGUAGGUAAACUGACCUGAAUGGACUUUAGUUUUUUUACUUGGAGAUCUUUGGUCGAUUUUUUUUUUUUUCUCCAUGUGAUGAGGAAACCAGUGGUGACACUACACAGUCUCAUGUUGCUUUCAUCAUCUUUUUCAGAGAGGUAGUCCAUAGGACCCAUGGCUGAAAAUCCUGAAUACAAAGUUCUCUGAGUAAAGAAAUUAGGAAUGGAUAAAAUCAUGUUUAGUUGAAUUUAAACUCAGCCUUGAAAUUUCUUUUUUGUUUUCUUAAGCUUAAGUUUCCCUUUUUAUAUGUUUCGUUUGAUUGGCAUAUUAUUCUAGUCUUUGUGUUGUCACUUUUUUGUUAAUGAAUUGAACUUCUGCUCUAUUCUGAGUAUUUUCUACUCAGUGUGACAAAGUACUCUCCCCUGAGAGGGCUCAGAUACCUUACUGCAGUUUCCUGUUGUAUUCUCAAACUUAAGAAUCUGUAGAAGUUUGUGUAGGAAAGACUAAUUUCACUGUCACUUCUGUGUCUUUGUAAACACAUAUAAAAAUAUAUUGUGAAAGGAAAAUAGACAUCAGAGAACUGCUUCUCCUAUAAAUCUCUUAAUGGUAUUACUGGGCAAUUAUUUUGUACCUCUGAGUAAUUUGAAUCACGUCCCUUGAAAAUUGAAAGGUACUCAAUGGGAAUGCAAUACUCCAGAAGAUUUUGUGGUUUGAAGUUUAUUUAUUUAUUAUGGUGAUCAAUUUAUUUAUUCACUUCUGAAAGAAUUAAAAGCCUAGCUUUGCUGUUUAAAUUCAAUUUUGAAAAAAUUGGAACCAUUAGUAGAACACCUGCAUUUUGUAUUUGCACUUAGCAAAGGCAAGAUGUGUGAUGUGAAAAAGGCAAGCAAAAAUUAGUUCCUCCCUUUGAGAGCAGUGGGUUGUUGUAAAGCACAGCUGUUUCAAAAUUGAGCUCCAUUGGUUUAUUUUUUAGACUCUGAGUGGUUAAUUAACUGGGCUGUCGUUCAUUCAAACCUUCUAUCUUUCUUUUCUUCUGCAGUAGCCAAAACCUUUAAGUGAUUUUGAAAUGAUAACUGAAGUAUCAAGCAUCAGCAGGAGCAUGUGUUUUUGGUGGUAGCAGGACUGGUGUUUGAUCUUAGCAUUUGUAUGAUCUAAAAUCCAGAAGUGCUUUAAAAAGAACUGUUUAAGCCUGUAAACAGCUGUAUUUGACAAAUACAAGAACUGACACUGUAGUGCCAGAUAGAUUUCUUGGUUACAAUGGAGAAAGGUAUUUUCCCUUCCAUCCUUUCCCAGUACAUUCCUUCACAGCUAAGAAAAUUGUUCCUGUUUUUGGGCUGACCUUCAGAAGUGCUAACUGAAGCCUGUGGAAAAAACUUCCUCUGGACUGUCUAAAGAGAGAUGAAGGCUCUACAUCUUAGGCUGCGAGUAGAGGCCUAAGUGACCUUGUUGUCAUCCUAAAACAUUUAUUGAUUCUGAUUCUUUUCCAGACUCCAAAGCUUAAAAGCAAAAUGAACAAAGGUAUUUUACAAAUGGUAAUUUUAAAGGUGCUGACCAAAAGCAUAAGAGGUAUUAAAAUCCUGAAUGUAUGCUUAGAGAAAAGGUCUUUUUUUUUUUUCAUCUGUGGAAAAACACACGGGUAGGAGCAGUAUCUUGGUGGAUGCUUUUUCUUAUUCUGUGGACACUAAUUUUUUUUUUCUUUUUGCUUUUGUAUCAUUAAGAUUUGUAGCUGCUAAAUUUCUUCUUAUUCUAAGAACUUUUCAUUGUCUGCUAAUCCUUGCUCUCAGAUUGCUAACUGAGCAAAAUUAAUGUGCCCAGUAGGGCAAGGCUGACUGAAGAAUUUAAAAAAGUGGGGGGGAGGAGGAAGAAAAAAAAAAGAAAACAAAAGAAAAAAGGGAAGCAUUUUGAAACUCCUGUAAACAAAAUAAAAAAAUGUUGUAACCUUUUGUUUUGAAGUACAUAUUCAGAAUUAAAUCAAACACUGAGAAUAAUGUGUGAUAAAUGUCAUGCAUAUUUCUGAGCACAGUGAACUAGCAAUGCAAUUUGAAAAGGCAGAGCAGAGAAUAAAGAGUAUUUUCUGCAUGAUUCACAGAUCAGUUCCUGCUAAAGUAAAAACUUCAUUGAUUAGCACCUGCUUAUUAUGUUUCAAGUAGACUAGAGGGACUUAAAAUACCACAGUCAUGAUCAGAAACCUGGAAGAAUAGAUUUAAACAAGGUUAAAGGAGAAAAGAAACCCCAUAAACAGGGCUGGAACAGAACAGAGUAGUGAAUGAAUGAAUAGGUGGGGGAGGCCUUAGCAUGACAAUAAAAUAAAUCAUGAUGUAAUGUCCUUGGGGGCCAAAGUUGUGCAAGCCAUUUUUUUUAAUUCUAAAGAACUAGAUCAUAGAAAAAACACCAAAAAUAAAAACAGCAGAAAGCAAAUAUGUCUAGCUGGGAUACAGAUGAUUUUCGGUUCAGCCAACAUUACCAGAUAUGUCACAGUCUUCAGGAUCUUAAAACUUGAAUUUUGAUAUUGCUAUGAUGCUAUUUAAUAGUAUGUCAAUAGUGUGAUGGAAAAUAAAAUCUUCAAAUUAAUAUUUCAAAAUCAACGUUAAAAUCCACAUUUAAUUUUUCUGCUCUUUGAAUACAGAAGAUCAUUAAAUAAAAAUCAAUACUUUUGCAUUUUUCAGACUGGCAAAACACUGUGUGUCACUGGUAAAUACAUAGCCCAGAUGGUAUUUGUCAUCCAGAAAACUGUAAUUCUCCGUUCUGCACCAGCAAUUCUUGUUUCUUAAUUUGUGGGAGAGCUGAAGGUCUUGUCACUUCCAUACAAGGAGAACUUGCAUAAGAGGGCUACAGGAUUUGUUGCUAAGGGGCAUUGUAAGUUAUAGAAUGUAGAAUGUUCAAGACAAAAGCACAAGAGGUUAGCAUUGGAAGUACUGGUGGUUUCAGUUGAGUUAACCCAAUCUUUAUUUACUUAUGAUAAAUUUGUUAGAAAAUCCCUGAAGGUAUCUAAUACAAAAGAUGAGCAGAAGCUUGUAUGUGGCUACAAUUUCCUUUUAACAUGGCACAAAGAAUUGUAGAUAGUAAGUAAUUUUUUUUUUUAAUUUUCACUUUGCAGAACUUUUAAUUUCUUUUAAUAUGGGUUUUGAAACUUUGCAUUGAUAAUUUCUUUGUAGCAAUGGGAAAACUCCACUGUAGGUAAUCAUAAAAAGCACAGUGUUGUAAAUUUUGGACCAAGAAUGUAUUGGCUUUCUAAGUCUUUGAUAAGGCAAAUCUAGUAUGCUCUUUGCUUGUAUUUUUCACCACAAGUGAAGAUUUCCCAAUCUGCUGUUAAUUUUAAUUUGGUGUUCAGAAUUCUCUGAUAAGUCAAUCCACUGCUGUCUUUGGAGGGAUAUAACUUGCACACACAAUGAAAUAAAUGCUUUCCAGGCUCUUGCAUGCUGAUAGAACUGGAGCUUUACGAUCUUUGCUAUUUGCUAAUUGUAAUCCUUGUAAUUUUAUUAACAUUUCAGAAGAAAAUCCUCCUGUUUUAUGAAGCUACUUUUCUUGUUUCAUUAAAAAAAAAUCUGGCAAGCUCAUGUUAGAACUAUGACUUCUCAUAUCUUGCAGAACCCCCCAUAAACGCAAGAAAGCCAAGCCUCAUACUCACUGUAUCAAACUGCUUAAAUAUUUUUAGGCCUGCACAUUUGUGUAUAAUUUAUGAAUACUUAUGAAAGAUAGUCCCAUAGACAGAGCAUAAUGUACCACCUACAUGAAUAGUGAAUUGUGCUUUAGGGAAUGAUAGUACUAAUUUGGAUGUGAUGAUAUUAAAAA